rnacentral:tRNA from 1 species
GUUUUAAUAGUUUAAAGAUAAAACAUAGGUCUUGUAAACCUAAAAUAAUAUAAGUUUUAAAACU